CAACUGCAAAGCACCUUAAUUUCUACAGUAAAAUAACAUUUUAGUCAAUUAGCAGACACUUUUCCUGAGUCAGAUACAACUGCAUCUCAGUUCUAGUAAACAAAUGGUACAUUUGCUUGAAAGCAGGUCCUUGGGGGCAGUGGCUCUUCUUGGGACACUACUAUAGGAGGACGGGUGCUCUACUCCAUGACAGCUCCUGAGGUCUCUGACCUGUGAGGAUAGACGAGGGGCCGGGUGGGGCCCAGGCCAGAGACGAGGGGCCGGGUGGAGCCCAGGCCAGAGACGAGGGGCCAGGUGGAGCCCAGGCCAGAGACGAGGGGCCAGGUGGAGCCCAGGUCGAGGGGGCCAAGUGGAGCCCAGGGCUCCAAUACCUAGUGGAUCAUCCUUUUUGUUUUCUCCCUCAACACCACGGUUACCAGUCUGUUUGGCUAACAUACCACUCCUUGUGAGAUGGGUUUUCCUCAGUACUUACCUUUAAACACACCUUACCUUGGUCUUUAAGAACUCCGCCCCCUCAGAGGGAAAACAUUUUCAAUUACAGCAAGAGAACAUUUUCUAUUUUUAUUAUUUUAUUUCAAAACAGUGUUUUGCUUCAAUGCAACGGCAGCUGAAUUCCACAGAACGAUAAAAACCAUUGUCAUGUUUAAUGACUUCAUGGGAAGAAAAGAGAAACCUCAAACAGUUGGCUUGAAUAAAACACAAGAAGAAGAAUACCUACAAAAAGGAGACAGAAUAACAACACGUUGUAAAAGAAUGAAGACCAAAUAGAUUUAAAAGGAAAUCUGGAGAAAACAGACAGUAAGACCAGGACAGCAUGUAAAAUGAGGGAUCCAUUGAUGGGAUAUACUGUCCAGAAUAUCAUCUUCAGAAGUUAAAGACUUCAGAGAGACGUGGAGACUUUAGGGGGGGACAGAGUUAAAGAAGUUAAACAGACGUGGAGACUUUAGGGGGG
ensembl:lncRNA